rnacentral:rRNA from 1 species
UCGAUAUCMAAAAGCGGAGGAAAAGAAACCAACAGGGAUUGCCUCAGUAACCGCGAGUGAAGCGGCAACAGCUCAAAUUGAAAUCUGGCCCCGGGCCCGAGUUGUAAUUUGCAGAGGAUGCUUCGGGGCGGCCCCCGGUCCAAGUCCCUUGSAACAGGSCGUCSUAGAGGGAGAGGACCCSGUACACGACCGGRCGUCCGCCCCGUGCGAAKCUCCUUCGACGAGUCGAGUUGUUUGGGAAUGCAGCUCCAAACGGGAGGUAUAUUCCUCCCAAKGCUAAAUACCGGCCGGAGACCGAUAGCGCACAAGUAGAGUGAUCGAAAGAUGAAAARCACUUUGGAAARARAGUGAAAAAGUACGUGAAAUUAUUGAAAGGGAAGCGUCUGCGGCCAGACCUGGUGGCGGUUGCUCAGCCGGUCCUUCGGGGCCGGCGCACUCUUCCGCCACCUGGCCAGCAUCGGUUUGGGCGGCCGGACAAAGKCCUCGGGAACGUGGCCCCCUCGCGGGGUGUUAUAGCCCUUGGCACAAUGCG